AUUGUAAUAUCCCACAUAGAAACAACUAAUGCAAUGAGGAGAAUUAAACAGUCUAGAACUACUCAUUAUUCCAGUAUUCACUAAUGAUUUCUCUUUCUCCCUCUCUCAUCUUCAGGGCUGUUCCUGCUCUGCCUUCCACAGGAGGCAUCUGCAAGCUCUUCCAGGAGCUCAAAUGCACCUUGCUCAGCAGGCUGGUCUGGUCUGGUCACCUAUCUGUGGCUGGGAUCACUCCCACCUGUGGAACAACUGUCCACAUCCUCCUGUGAAUGAGGUGGUAUGUGACUGGUAACCUUCCUAGAUGUCUGGUUAAGAAACGUGUUUUCAUCUGUGAUCUAUGGUGCAGCAUGGA